rnacentral:rRNA from 1 species
UACGUAGGUGGUUUAUUAAGUCAGAUGUGAAAGCCCCGGGCUUAACCUGGGAACUGCAUUUGAUACUGGUAAGCUAGAGUAUGGUAGAGGGGGGUAGAAUUUCUAGUGUAGCGGUGAAAUGCGUAGAUAUUAGAAGGAAUACCAGUGGCGAAGGCGGCCCCCUGGACCAAUACUGACACUGAGGUACGAAAGCGUGGGUAGCGAACAGGAUUAGAUACCCUGGUAGUCC